AUUUAUUUAUAGAUAUUAAUCUAUCAUGUAAACAAUAUAUGAGGCUUAACUGAAAUAAUAACUUAUCUCAAAUAAAUAAGAUAUUAAAACGAAUAUAAAUACAAAAGUUUUAAAGUAUGUGGUUAAUGCUUUUGAAUAACAAACUAAUUGUUUGUGUAGUUCAAAUGGUUUGAAAGAUGUAUUUGUAUGUGAGAGGUCCUGAGUUCGAGUCUUAAGAAUAACAUCUUUUUUAUAUAUAUGAGAAGAGGUUAGGUUCGGAGUUUGCGAGGCACGGGGCUCUAGUUUUUGCUGUAUUUUAAAUAAUAUUCAUAUAUCAUUAUAUUGUUCUUGUACGGACCUUGAGUUUGUAUUAUGUUUUAAAUAAUAUCCGUGUGUCAUCAUAUUGUUUGGAGCGUAACUAUUACGUUUUACUUUUUGACAAAAUAUGUAAACAUGAAAAAUGUAAUAUAUGCAAGCUAAUAGCAUUAAUAGUAAUAAUAAGUACUAUUCCCUCCAUUCCAUUUUAUAUGACCCUUAUUCUUUUUUGAGACAUCUCUAAAAUAAUGAACUUACUAUACUUACUAUUUUUAAACACUACUUAUCACUAUUACACACACUACUUCUCUAUUUUAUACUCUUUUAUAUUAAAUAAACACUAUUACACUCACUACUUAUCACCAUUAUCUCAAAUCUGUUAUUAAAUUUUGAUAUAUUCCACCACUUUACCCACUUUCCAACUAAAUUUACUAUUUUUUACUACUUUUUUCUUCAUCUCCGUGAAAGUCAAAUAAGAUCACUUAAAAUAGGACGAAGGGAGUAUAUUUUUUUAAAAAAAAAUUACAGAUCAAAAACUAUAUUUGAACUGAUAUUUCUAUAUUCAAAUUCGUUAGGAUAUAGAGACCAUUAUCAUAUUAUCUAUGUUUAAAAUUAUAUUCGAAAUUAAUACUGAAAUUUUAAAUUUUAAAUAUAUUAUACCUCAUUAAAAGUAUCUGUAAUUUAUUGUUGAAAUUAUUAAAUUAUUUCAACUAAUAUACCAUGAUUUUGAUGAAAACCUGUUUUUGAUGUGUGAAUUACGAUAUCCUAAAUCAUGAUUAAAUGAAGAUGUGUGGCCCGCGUUGCCCACAUUUAUUUCUUCUUUUUUGAGCGUACGUUUGCAUAAUUGUUAAAGUGAUACAUGAUGGAGCAGAUCACCAACACAUUCUUUUUAGCAUAUGUUGCACACAUUUUGUAUAAAUAAAAAUUGAAACAUAUGUUGUACGUAAAAAGACACGUACCUUAUUUUAUUAUAAAAGCAUCAAUUGAACUACUAACUGAUGUGCUAGAAAUAUUAUUUUUUAAAUCGAUCGCAAGCGCACAAUCUCGUUAUAGUAAUUUAUGAUUCGUCCACAGAGAUUAAAAUAAUUUUCGAAACCUUAAUUUAUUAAUCUAGGCGGAAAAGAGAUGAAGUUUUGGAAAGUUAUGAUUUUAUCUAAUUAAAAGCUGAAGAAAUUGUUUGACUCUAAAUUAACUAAUUAACAGAUCAAGGUAAAAACAAGAAUUGAUUAAAAUUUGAAUUUCCAAAUUUUUUAUUCGAAGCAACAUUUAAACUCAGCAUAGCAAAAUGAAAAGAAAACGAAACCACUUACAACCUAAACUAACUCAACGACUGGGACCAGGAGACACAGACUCGUCCUCACAAGAAAACAACAUACCUCAGUAAACAUGUUCUAAAAUUCGGCCAAAAGCAACUUCUACACUAAUGACUCAGCAAACAUAACAGAAAUUUACACAUAAAUCAGCAGGAACACACUAGACCACAAAACUCAGAAUUCGAAAAAAAAAAAAAAAAAAAUAAAACUAAAACUUAACCAAAAGGAAACAGAAAAUCAGCCUAUAUCACGCACACAGUGCAAAAUUGAAACAACACCCCACAAUCAGAAAAACAGCUAACUCAAAAAUGGACUCGGCUACAACUUCUAUAACACAGAACUCAAAUAAACAAACCAAAGGAGCAAACAACAAAACCCAGAAGAAUGAUUCAACAGCAGAACGAAACAAAAGCUCAAAACACCGAAACUAUAUCUCGACCAAGCUACUCAACAGACUCAAACUCGCGCAGGACUAACACAAUCGAAAGCAAAGAAAAUGGGUUCGACAAUAUCAGACUCGGAAAAACCCAGGCAUGACUCGGAAACUACAACUCACAAAAACGCAGCAAAGAAAACUCCAGAAUGCAACAACAGUAGAACACAGACCAAAGCAACCAACUAUCGUCGACUCACUGACUCGACUACACUACACAGCAACUUAGCAUAAAACCCAGACUCGGCAUUGAAAAUCCUAGACUCAGCAAGACUCGGACAAAGAAACAGAACCCAGAAAACGUAUGAAACGCAGCAGUUAGUACAGGGCCACGACUCAAAACUCGGAGCAAACGACUCAUCCAAGCAGCAAUUCAAAUGAACGAAAUACAAGCAAAGAAAGUGAAAUAGUCGAUUUCUUAAACACAGGACAGAACAGGGGAGGUAAUUUUAUUUUGACGAAAAGCAGAGCAGGUUAGUCUUGGUUUUAAAAGAAAGAGGGUUUUUGUGAUGUGGGUUGGUUUUUAUAUCAAAAGCAAGUGAUAGUUUCCUUUCAUUAUAAAAGAGUUGCCAAACUACUGUGCAAAUUGGUAUCAAGAAUUAAUAGUUUACUAGCCAAAGUGAAGCAGCCGAAUUGAGUUAACAAUACCUUUAAGUCUCAAAACAUUAAUCCCCCGCACAAAUGAUUUUUGUGCUAGAGUUCAUGUUUCUUGCAAAAAUUAAAUCUAAACAUAAAGAGAGCUACCACUAAUUAAUGGCUCCUUCCAAUCUACAAACAACUUUGAACUUUUUUUGUAGUUAGAGGAAGAUUUCAUGGCCAAAGAAAACAUAAAGAACAAGAAUGUAAGAACAAAAGAUAAAAUCUUGCAUUAAAAUAUUAAAAUGUGUUUACAAAAGGAUGAGAGAGCAUACAAAUUAAAGCUAGAUCUAGACUAAAGAAAGGAG
rnacentral:lncRNA from 1 species